AGAGCGAACGCUGGCGGCAGGCUUAACACAUGCAAGUCGAGCGGGCGUAGCAAUACGUCAGCGGCAGACGGGUGAGUAACGCGUGGGAACAUACCUUUUGGUUCGGAACAACCCAGGGAAACUUGGGCUAAUACCGGAUAAGCCCUUACGGGGAAAGAUUUAUCGCCAAAAGAUUGGCCCGCGUCUGAUUAGCUAGUUGGUGAGGUAACGGCUCACCAAGGCGACGAUCAGUAGCUGGUCUGAGAGGAUGAUCAGCCACAUUGGGACUGAGACACGGCCCAAACUCCUACGGGAGGCAGCAGUGGGGAAUAUUGGACAAUGGGCGCAAGCCUGAUCCAGCCAUGCCGCGUGAGUGAUGAAGGCCCUAGGGUUGUAAAGCUCUUUUGUGCGGGAAGAUAAUGACGGUACCGCAAGAAUAAGCCCGGACUAACUUCGCGCCAGCAGCCGC
rnacentral:rRNA from 1 species